AGUAAGAGCUUGGCUGCAUUGCUUUUCAUUGUACAGCACAGCUAAGCAGGGUCAAGCCUGGUUAGUAUGUGGAUGGGAGACCUCAAAGGAAAACUCAGGCACU
rnacentral:rRNA from 1 species